UCAGAAACCCAUUUUCCUUAGUAAGGUUUUGUGUUCUCGCCCUGCUAUGCCGUUUAUCCUCACUAGGGACACAGGCGUGCUUGGAGCCUAUACCAGGUGACUCUGGACAAGUUGCGGUGUACACCCUAAACAAACAGCCUUCAGUGCUAUCCUUCAGACCUACCAUUCAUGUUUGGCAAUGGCACAAGGGUCCUCAGAACUGGGAGGUAGAUGUGCUAAUAAAUUGGCUACCAUGCAACCACACUCGGGUUUACAAUCGCAACUAUAUGGUGAUGCAGAAGUAAUGCAACAAGAAUGUAUUUACAUGAGUAAUGCUUAGUCGUAAGAAGCAAUUAGGUAGUUUUUAUUGGCUCUGUUUUAGAGACUUCAGUGCAUUUAACAACGUGGUUAUUGUGGUUGGAGUGACUAUUUGUGUUAUGGGGCUUUCAGCCCAAUACAGAAACAUCUAAGUAGGAUAUAGCCCUGUUUUUACAUCACUGAAAACUGCAACCACAACAAUCAAUAUUAAACCUGGCCUACUUCUCUGGCGGUGUCGAAACACGGCAUUUUUUUUUCCGUUUUCUUUUUAUCCUUACUGUAUUGGACAGGUGUACCCAAGCCAGUGAGUGCACCAAAUAGUCCAAUCUAUCCUAUUACAGACACGACGAAUUAUUAUGAAGUAAAGCAGGCUAACGUGUGUGGUGCAAAAUAGGUCAGAAUGACGCACUGAAGUAUGAUCCAAAGCGAAAGUUUAAAACGACUCUUGCACUGUAAACUCUCCACCUUUUCCCCGAAAUUACUGUUUUAAUUUCACUUUCCUUCUGACUGGCAAAUGGGAAGUUCCAAACAAGGUAUUUGCAUCGUUAAGAAGGACUUUUGGCGGACGGCUGAGACGCGGAAGGUUCUGCUUAUUUUCCCAGCAUGGAAAGCCACUCUGUCUCGGGUCAGGCAAGAUGAGGACGAGAGCUGACGUGACACCGCCCUUGAGCUCGCUGAAGGCCGCCUGGCAGGCCGGAUUCCAGUGGAAGGGUGAGGAGUGGGCCACUGAAGGACGGCCUCGACCUUCCCGGGAUCCAUGCGGGUCACCCCCUCUGCUGGGACAAAACCCAGGAAUGAGAUGGAGGGUCGAUGGAAUUUGCAUUUCUCUGCUUUAAUGUACAAGUCGUGCCGAACAGCUGCUGCCGCACAGCCCAGAUGUGCCCGACAUGAGACUCUUCAUCCGGGGAAAAAAAUCGGUCUCAGGUGCCCACUAACUGAAGACAUGUGUCCGAAUGUGAGCGUAACCACGGUGACGGCAAAACACACUUCCGAUGGCCUCCACGCACCCAGAUUCUUUUUGGUGAUUGUGGCAUGAUGAUUCACUUAAAAAGUAUGCGGAGCUGUGCCCCAACAAGAAUACACAGAAGAAAAUUCAUGACAUUGCAAAUGCUUUCAUUUGCAUUUUUUUAAUUUGCAUUGGAUUCACGACACAGUUUUAAAUGACUUUUAAAUGUAUUGGCUUUAAAACCCACACCGGUGUCCAACUCAAGGCCGGGGGGCCAGAUCUGGCCCACCUCAUGAUAUUAUGUGGCCCACGAAGGCCAAUCAUCUGUCAACUUCCAUGAUUCUUACGAAAAUCUGGACCAAGAUUUAAAAAUGUCACGUACAGUAUCAUAAAUGAUGACGUUGAGAUAUUAUAAGCAUUUUUGUGUUGCCAAAUAUGAACAAUGGUUGAAAAAUCCAUUGUACUUGAUUUCUGAUUCAAAAACUAGUUAAUAGAUUUCACGUGUAAAUAUGAGGCGAUUAAAGAGUUUUCUGAUUUCACAGUCCUGACAGCCCUCUGAGGGAAUCCAUGACUACAAUGUAGCCCGCGACAAAAAUGAGUUUGACACCCCAGCUGUAAAAUCUGUCAAACAAUAUUAUUGAUACAAAUGAUUUGGUGAUAAUUGGUGUGUUAUGAAUCAUAUUUAUUUCCAUCCCUUGCCCCCAGAAUCUUUGAAAUGUAUUUAGUUUAUGUCUGAAUAUGGUUGUAGUUUCCAAAACGGGCUAAUCUUGACGCAUCAUCCUUCUUUACUUGCACCAAAAAAAGAGGAAACAAAAGUAAUCCAUGACCCGGAGUUGGUUUGGUUAAAGAAAACCGUUUACUUGAACUCCAACAGCAAAAAUAAAGUAAAUAAAAUUGUUUCCAGAUCGAAUGGGCACAGCAUAUCCAGGUCAAUGAACAAAAAUACAAAGAAAAUGAUGAUGAUGGUCAAAAAACUUUCGCACCACCAUCCAUAUUUCCAAUGUCACUCUUUUUUUGCCUAACCUUUGUUCUUCUUCCGGUUCAUUACAUCAUCACAACAUACUGUAUCAACUACAGUAUGUAGCAAACCUCAAAUCCUAAUUUUAAAUAUCCCAGAAUGCAUUAUACUCAUCAUCCACAGCAUACAUAUAAUAGACAAUUAUCAAUACACAAUAUCACAUAAUUAAAACUUAGCUGAAAUUAUUUCACUAAUUAUUCUGACCGAAAAUAUUUGAAGAACAGAAAUUAUAUAUAGGCUCUUACAUUACCGGCCCCUAAUUGCUAUCAAUGUUCUUGAUACAGUUAUCUAAAUACAACUCUAUAAGUACAGUAUAUAGUUACACAUUAGAGUUCAGAUAUUCCAAAUAUCUCUUAGCCCUGUGGACAAGAAAAAGACAACAUACAGGCAUUAGCAUCUUUUGUAAAUCUUUUCUUCAAAUUUAAUGCGCGUUGCUCAGCGACUGACCUGUUGUUUGGCAGAUGAAGUGACUUGUUUUUCACAGGUAAACAAACAAUGUAAUGACCAUUUGAAAGCUUGGCGGCGUGAGAAACAAUUUGGAUGAAGUGAUGAUCAUCCUUCAACCACUUGUUUUUCUCAUUUUGUCUGACAUCAGGAAAGUCAUGCUUAAACUGCAUUUGCCAGAGCUCUUCUAGUUUUGUCACUGAUAUUUUGUCUACAGAGACUUCUGCUAAUUUGUUUACCUCCAUGUCAUUUCCACCUUUUAGUGGUCUAUUUAUUGUCCAGCCGAGUAUCAUCCUCACUGCAUAAGGUCCAUCAUCCACACUACUGAUUUUCCUUUACCGGUUCUUCAUUCUUAAAGUUAAUGUGUAACAAUGUAGGAUGUUGGGGGGAACAUUCUUGACACUGUACCUUUUCUUUACAGUCUUUGCUCAUAUGACCAUCUUUUAGACAUGCAAAAUAUAGGCCAAUGAUUCUCAAAAAUUCUAAAUUUUCUUUAUGAGGGUUGUCCUUGAGUUUUUUGCAGGUUGGGAAACCCUGUUGGCUUACUUUGCAGUAGGCACAGUGAUUACUCUCUUAUCUGUUUCCUUCACUUUUAGCUUUAGAAGAAGCUACAGCUGUUGUAAACACCUUCUGUGAUUUGUUCCUAUCUCCAUGCUGUGACUUUAACUUCUGUUGAGGUGAUUGAAAGUCCUUGAAGUUUACGCUUUGCUUGUUUUUUUCUUGAGUAUGACAGGUAACAUUCACCAGGUUUCUUUGAGCUUAUAUGGGAGCUUAUUUACUAGUGCCUUUAUGUUAGCUGUAUUGUCCAAAUCCUCCAAAUACCUAAACUCAUACAUUGCAUUGAAGAAUCCUGUGAGGAACAACGAAUAAGACUGUGACACAUCGCCAUCUUCCGGUUUGAUCACUGGCCAAUCCAAGACCUCCUGAAUGUAGGCUUCUGCUAUCUUAUAGUCAGAACCAAAAAAUUAAUUUGCUUGGCUUUUACAUAACUGACUGAGGGUUCCUUAUGCAAACAACUUUUGACCAAGUCAUGUGAUGGUCCACUUGUGUAUUGCAGAAGAAACUGUAAUUGGUCCCGAUUAUCACUAGUUCGGCCUUCUACUCCAUGUUCCAUUGAUCUAAUAAAGGAUUUAUAUUCAAGAGGAUCACAUGUAAAUAUUGCAAUCUUGAGAUCGGGGAGUAAUAAUGCCUGGUGGUUUUUUGCAAGAUAUUCAGUCACACAAAUUUGUUGAGAGAUGGUCUUACAUAAACUCUCAAGCACUGCUUCUUUCUCACAGUCCACCUUUGGUUGUGUCACACGUCCUGUCAUCGAUACUCGCUGAUUGUUGAACUGGUUGGAUGAAAUUGAGCUACUUUGCUGUGGCUGUGAGCCAGCAUGCAUUUUCUGCGUCAUCAAUUUGUUCAUCUACCUGCUCUUCUUCAUCAAAUAUACUCAUUCCUGCUUGUGAGUGUUCAUAAUUUUGUAAAACUUCCAUUCUCGCACCAGCUGCUGUAAAAGUAGUCCGCAUUGCAUGCAUCUCUUACAACAGUGAAUAAAGUAGUUUCUUUGUUUAAGUGCUAAUGCAAUUUAAAAUUAUUGCGUAAACGUACACAUAGUGAGAAAAGUCCCGCACAGACAUGAGGGUGGAACUUUUAACACAUAUUCCGGAAUUGUUUCUUGCCUAAUAUGUGUAAGUGAAAGCUACAAAACGGAGAUUAUUUCCCAUAAGUGAUGUUGCAACACACUUUUAAAGUCUGACUGUUUAGUGAAUUGUGUAUCUUGUUAUUGUGAUUUUUUUUCCUUUUGGUGUGCUGUGUGUACAUUAAUGAAGAAGAAAUGAAAUUACAUGAUUUUAGCAAUCGGCUG